rnacentral:rRNA from 1 species
UACGUAGGGUGCAAGCGUUGUCCGGAAUUAUUGGGCGUAAAGAGCUCGUAGGCGGUUUGUUGCGUCGGCUGUGAAAUCCCGAGGCUCAACCUCGGGUCUGCAGUCGAUACGAGCAAACUAGAGUGUUGCAGGGGAGACUGGAAUUCCUGGUGUAGCGGUGAAAUGCGCAGAUAUCAGGAGGAACACCGGUGGCGAAGGCGACUUCCUGGCCUGUUCUUGACGCUGGAGGCGCGAAAGCUAGGGUAGCAAACGGG